rnacentral:rRNA from 1 species
AGUGGCGGACGGGUGAGUAACGCGUGGGUAACCUGCCUUGUACAGGGGGAUAACAGUUGGAAACGGCUGCUAAUACCGCAUAAGCGCACAGCAUCGCAUGAUGCAGUGUGAAAAACUCCGGUGGUAUAAGAUGGACCCGCGUUGGAUUAGCUAGUUGGUGAGGUAACGGCCCACCAAGGCGACGAUGCAUAGCCGGCCUGAGAGGGCGGACGGCCACAUUGGGACUGAGACACGGCCCAAACUCCUACGGGAGGCAGCAGUAGGGAAUUUUCGUCAAUGGGGGGAACCCUGAACGAGCAAUGCCGCGUGAGUGAGGAAGGUCUUCGGAUCGUAAAGCUCUGUUGUAAGAGAAAAACGACAUUCAUAGGGAAUGAUGAGUGAGUGAUGGUAUCUUACCAGAAAGUCACGGCUAACUACGUGCCAGCAGCCGCGGUAAUACGUAGGUGGCGAGCGUUAUCCGGAAUGAUUGGGCGUAAAGGGUGCGUAGGUGGCAGAACAAGUCUGGAGUAAAAGGUAUGGGCUCAACCCGUACUGGCUCUGGAAACUGUUCAGCUAGAGAACAGAAGAGGACGGCGGAACUCCAUGUGUAGCGGUAAAAUGCGUAGAUAUAUGGAAGAACACCGGUGGCGAAGGCGGCCGUCUGGUCUGUUGCUGACACUGAAGCACGAAAGCGUGGGGAGCAAAUAGGAUUAGAUACCCUAGUAGUCCACGCCGUAAACGAUGAGCACUAGGUGUCGGGGUCGCAAGACUUCGGUGCCGGAGUUAACGCAUUAAGUGCUCCGCCUGGGGAGUACGCACGCAAGUGUGAAACUCAAAGGAAUUGACGGGGACCCGCACAAGCAGCGGAGCAUGUGGUUUAAUUCGAAGCAACGCGAAGAACCUUACCAAGUCUUGACAUCCCUCUGACCGGAACUUAACCGUUCCUUUCCUUCGGGACAGAGGAGACAGGUGGUGCAUGGUUGUCGUCAGCUCGUGUCGUGAGAUGUUGGGUUAAGUCCCGCAACGAGCGCAACCCCUAUCUUUAGUAGCCAGCAUUUCAGGUGGGCACUCUAGAGAGACUGCCAGGGAUAACCUGGAGGAAGGUGGGGACGACGUCAAAUCAUCAUGCCCCUUAUGACCAGGGCUACACACGUGCUACAAUGGCGUAAACAGAGGGAAGCAGCCUCGUGAGAGUGAGCAAAUCCCAAAAAUAACGUCUCAGUUCGGAUUGUAGUCUGCAACUCGACUACAUGAAGCUGGAAUCGCUAGUAAUCGCGAAUCAGAAUGCUGCGGUGAAUACGUUCCCGGGCCUUGCACUCACCGCCCGUCAA